rnacentral:rRNA from 1 species
CCUACGGGCGGCAGCAGUGGGGGAUAUUGCACAAUGGGGGAAACCCUGAUGCAGCGACGCCGCGUGGGUGAAGAAGGGCCUCGGCGCGUAAAGCCCUGUCAGCAGGGAAGAAAAUGACGGUACCUGAAGAAGAAGCCCCGGCUAACUACGUGCCAGCAGCCGCGGUAAUACGUAGGGGGCAAGCGUUAUCCGGAUUUAAUGGGGGUAAAGGGGGGGGAGACGGCGAUGCAAGCAAGGAGGUAAGGCCCGGGGCCCAACCCCGGGACGGCCGUUGAAACUGCGUGGCUCGAGUGCAGGAGAGGCAGGCGGAAUUCCUGGUGUAGCGGUGAAAUGCGUAGAUAUCAGGAGGAACACCGGUGGCGAAGGCGGCCUGCUGGACUGCAACUGACGUUGAGGCCCGAAAGCGUGGGGAGCAAACAGGAUUAGAUACCCGAGUAGUC